GAUGCUUCAGGACUGUAAUGAGUGCUGGAUUCUGAUCUUCUGUCUGUGUCCAGUUGUAUCUAUUGUCUCCUCUCUCCUCUCCUCACUUGUGGUCUAUCACUGCUGUAAGAAGGCUGAAGAACAUCCUGUUGAUCAGCAAAGACCUGACACUAGAGGUCAUCCAAGACAGAGCCAGGAUGACGAUGUGUGCUAUGCUGCUGUGGAAAUCCGUCAGAAAUCAAAGAGACCAAAGAAGAAGAAGGAACCGCAGACUUCUGACUUCUGCACCUAUUCUGCUCUUAAUACAUCUAGGAUGUAACAGGCCUAAGACCAGAGGAACAAAACAAUAAUUUUGUAAUGUUGACAUAAACAUCGAACAAAAAGUAAGGACAUUUGUGUUUGGUAGAUUUAUUUCUUUGUUGUA